rnacentral:rRNA from 1 species
GCUAGAUGGUGGGGUAACGGCUCACCAUGGCAAUGAUACGUAGCCGACCUGAGAGGGUAAUCGGCCACAUUGGGACUGAGACACGGCCCAAACUCCUACGGGAGGCAGCAGUAGGGAAUCUUCCACAAUGGACGAAAGUCUGAUGGAGCAACGCCGCGUGAGUGAAGAAGGGUUUCGGCUCGUAAAACUCUGUUGUUAAAGAAGAACAUAUCUGAGAGUAACUGUUCAGGUAUUGACGGUAUUUAACCAGAAAGCCACGGCUAACUACGUG